UACAGAGGUCCCAAGCGUUGUUCGGAUUCAUUGGGCGUAAAGAGUGCGUAGGCGGCGCGGUAAGUCGGGUGUGAAAUCUCGGAGCUUAACUCCGAAACUGCAUUCGAUACUGCCGUGCUUGAGGACUGGAGAGGAGACUGGAAUUUACGGUGUAGCGGUGAAAUGCGUAGAUAUCGUAAGGAAGACCAGUGGCGAAGGCGGGUCUCUGGACAGUUCCUGACGCUGAGGCACGAAGGCCAGGGGAGCAAACGGG
rnacentral:rRNA from 1 species